AGCAUUGAUCGUCUUAUCAAUAAUGUGUGUAUCUGAAUCGUACUUCGCCUAAUCAAGAUUAAAAUGUGAGUUAAUUGAUAAUGUAUUGAAAUUAUUAAAUAAAAUUAAUUGUUUAUUUUUGUAGAUUCUUUUUAUAAACUUAACUAUACAAAUGUAAAAAUGUACUUAAUCCAUCUGUUGUAAAUUAAAUAGUAGUCUAUCUAAGGUUUUUUAUCAUUUACACUCUUUUCAGCUAGAUGUUACAUUUAGUGAUCUUGGAAGAAAAGUUAUUGAUUUAAUGUUUUUAUUUUACUUGUUUAAUAGAGAUGUAGAUAGCCUGGUUUUACUUUCAAUGGUUGGCGUAAAUUCUUUUGUGUUCCUUUUUUUACCAAUAGCUCAGCAUCAUAUUUUCUUCCAGUUCCAGAUAAUGUUAGCAAAUCAAUUACUAUCUUGUGAUGUUUUUUUAUGUCCAUGAAUUUUUUGAGUGUAACAUAUACAGCGGGUUAACUAAUUGUAUAAUAUUAUAUCAAUUUUGUUAUAUUUAUUUAUAUUUGUUUGAUUAUUAUU